rnacentral:rRNA from 1 species
UACACUCCUACGGGAGGCAGCAGUGGGGAAUUUUGGACAAUGGGCGAAAGCCUGAUCCAGCCAUGCCGCGUGCAGGAUGAAGGCCUUCGGGUUGUAAACUGCUUUUGUACGGAACGAAACGGCCUUUUCUAAUAAAGAGGGCUAAUGACGGUACCGUAAGAAUAAGCACCGGCUAACUACGUGCCAGCAGCCGCGGUAAUACGUAGGGUGCAAGCGUUAAUCGGAAUUACUGGGCGUAAAGCGUGCGCAGGCGGUUAUGUAAGACAGUUGUGAAAUCCCCGGGCUCAACCUGGGAACUGCAUCUGUGACUGCAUAGCUAGAGUACGGUAGAGGGGGAUGGAAUUCCGCGUGUAGCAGUGAAAUGCGUAGAUAUGCGGAGGAACACCGAUGGCGAAGGCAAUCCCCUGGACCUGUACUGACGCUCAUGCACGAAAGCGUGGGGAGCAAACAGGAUUAGAUACCCCAGUAGUCCCAU